rnacentral:rRNA from 1 species
CAGUCGCCGCGGUAAUACAGAGGAUGCAAGCGUUAUCCGGAAUCACUGGGCGUAAAGGGUGCGUAGGCGGGUCUUUAAGUCAGGGGUGAAAUCCUGGAGCUCAACUCCAGAACUGCCUUUGAUACUGAGGAUCUUGAGUUCGGGAGAGGUGGGUGGAACUGCGAGUGUAGAGGUGAAAUUCGUAGAUAUUCGCAAGAACACCAGUGGCGAAGGCGGCUCACUGGCCCGAUACUGACGCUGAGGCACGAAAGCUUGGGGAGCAAACAGGAUUAGAUACCCCAGUAGUCCCUGUCUCUUAUAA